GAUGAAGAACGCAGCAAAAUGCGAUAAGUAAUGUGAAUUGCAGAAUUCAGUGAAUCAUCGAAUCUUUGAACGCACAUUGCGCCCGCCAGUAUUCUGGCGGGCAUGCCUGUUCGAGCGUCAUUUCAACCCUCAAGCACAGCUUGGUGUUGGGACUCGCGUUAAUUCGCGUUCCUCAAAUUGAUUGGCGGUCACGUCGAGCUUCCAUAGCGUAGUAGUAAAACCCUCGUUACUUGUAAUCGUCGCGGCCACGCCGUUAAACCCCAACUUCUGAAUGUUGACCUCGGAUCAGGUAGGAAUACCCGCUGAACUUAAGCAUAUCAAUAAGCGGAGGA
rnacentral:misc_RNA from 1 species